GCGAAAGCUAUAAUAAAAUUCAAGGUAACUUACAAUACAAACUGUGUCAAGAAAAUAUGAUAAUACAAUACCCAAAUCUCGUUUAUGAAGCCUCUAUAGUGUACAAACUAUCUAGGUUGGGACAAGGCCCCGGGUAGAUCAUAAAGACCUUAAAAAUGAAAAACACGUGGGAUGGACGCCUUUCGAUGUAAGGGAGGCUUACCAAUCUCUGUCAGUCUGUAAAUACUCUACUAGUUUGUAAGACCACAGGACUGGGCCUCAAAACCUGAAAUAUAAGGGGUCAAUACUCAAAAGUAAUGGUAUGUAGAAUAAUCCAAAAAUAGAGUAUAAUUUGUAUAACAUAAGUGAGAGCGUUUCAUAAAAUAGUUUAGCAUAAGGAAAAUGAGAACACAUGGGCAUAAUUUACUAAGCUUCAAAAAAUUUUCUUGCAAUCAUGACUCAACUCUUUAUUUUACUUCUGAGCUAGAUGGGUUACUCUACAUUCGUACUAAUCCAUGGGAUAUAUGGAUUCCGCACUUAACUCGGUGGACAAGCCCCCAAUCUGAGUUUUUCGUAAGGAUUGGGGUCCUUCAUAACGUACUACGCCAUAGGGUCAUCGCUAGCGUACAAUCCAUAUUAUAGGACAUAAUAAACUCAUAUAGAUAAAAUACGAUUUCGGGCAAUGCGUUAUCUGAACUCAUGCCUUCUUCGGGUGACCCCCUCACUCUCUUUAAGCCUAUUUUUAGUUCUUUAAAACCAUGCUUCAUGAUCUUAAAACGUUUGUUUCUUUCAUUCUAAAGGCACUCCAUAAUAGGUAUCUUCAUACCUAGACUUGCAAUUCGAAUCAUGUCAUAACGUAUCCAAAGCCCUUUUCAUUCAAAAAUUAUAUAAAUGGCCACCCAAAAGAUGUAAACAACGUAUGAUAGGUAUUAUUCCAGUAGCAUACGAAAAAAUUAUGCAAAAACAUCAUGUUUCAAGCUUUCAACAUACGGUGGCCAACUCUUUUCAUAAAUCACGUGCAAUUCUUUCAUUUAAAACAAAGAGUGCAUGUAUAACAAGAAAACACCCUCUCCUCAUUUCAUAAUCAACUUAAGUUCAUGAAUUAUAGUAAAACAUUUAAUUCAUACUUUAGAACAUGCAAUUGAACAACCCAUAUUAUGUUAAAUCAAACAAAUUCCACGUGGAGAGGGAAAUUUCAUGAAUUAUACUGUCAUAUUAAUUCUCGAAAUCAUAUAGCGUUUAAACACAUGAAUAUAAUUCAAAACUAUGGAAACUUGAUGUUAUAUAUCAAAAUGGGUUCAUGAUGCAUAUUCUUCAAAGUAUUUUCAAAACCCUUCUUGUAUACAUAAUUACAUGCCUUUAAAACUUGUUAAAAACGAUACAUAUGUCCAUGAGGUUUAGGAUAGUCCCAUAUAUCUUAGAAUUGAUGAAAACGUUGAGAAAAUUUGACCCUUGAGACUCUAUCUCUCAAACCCUAGUUAGUUUCUCUACGUUUUGCUUAGAAAAGAUGAAUUGGGGAUCUUGGGAUGUUAAUACGUAAUGAAGGACUUUAAUUUCGUCCUUAUUGAUUUAGAAAUAGAUAUGGGAUGUGAAUAGACCUUAAUGCCCUUAAAAUAAUACAAAAUGGAGCACUUACGCUGCUAUGAAAUUACCAUGCGGCGUACAACAAUUGCCCAAGCCAAGGUGGGAGACGCAUGGUCAUUGCACAGCUCCAAGUUGGCGACGCAUAACCAUUGCACACCCUUUCGAGUGGCCUUUUACGUUUGUUAUGCGACGCAUGGCCUUUACAAUGUCCUAUUGUGCAAUGCCUACUUGUUUUUAGGGUUUUAAAAUACCCCCAAUGUAACCCACAACGUCCAAACUAGUCUACCAUCCAUACGAUAGUCCUAAAGGUCAUUUUAGAGAGCGUUAUUAGUAUGAUACAACUACGGGAUAUUAUAUUAUCUCUCUCUUGGGAUCAUUCAUCUUCGAAUGAUGGAUAGGAACUUGUUGAAGAUCUAAAAGUAUGGAAUAAAGAACGUAACCUCGCAUUGAAUAUUUUUCCAUAAAAAAAUAUGCAAAGGAAUAAAAAGAGCUUCAUGAUGAACCGUAGUGAAUCAGGUAAGCACGAAGCGUGAGAUAAUAGGAAUUCACAGAGAGAUGACCUUGCACAUGAGUUCUAGGGAUCAUAAUCAUCACAACAUCUGGUACGCGUUUAUUUGGUGAUCAUAGGCCUGAUUUACAUCGAUACUAAUCGUGUAUUAAGAUUUUGCAGGAGAUAAAAAUAGAAGCAUUCUCCACCUUGCAAGAUAUAAUGAAUAGACCUUAAACUUAGAAACACUACUCCUCUAUGUCCCAAAUAAUAAAUAACAUACUUCAUUAUUUCCAACUUACAAUUCUCCCCCAACCCACCUAAUCUUCAAGAGUUUAAGUCCCACUGCAUAGAACUUCUAUGUUGAAGCCUAACCUGGAGUUUAAAAGACGCUAGCUUAAUCAAUGGGAUUCCAUACCCUACAUCCCUUUAGGAAUACUACUUUACCUUAUCAUUAUAAUCAAACACCCUCAGGUCUUAAAUCAUAGAGUGCCAACCACAUAAAACAUUGGUUUGCAUUUUCAUCAAUCACCACAUUCAAGCCUAUCAUUAUUAUACCCACUGCAUGGAUCUCCCCACUAAGACUAGCAAGUUCAGUCACUCUCACAAAGAUUUUUACCGCAUAUAUCUUUCCUAACUAUUUCACAGAAAGAAAGUUUAUCUCCUUCUUUUCCCCUUCACCUAUAACCUUAGCUCGAGAAUCACAUAAAAAUUUUCACGUUCAAGAACAUCUACUCCCCUACCUAAGACAUUACUAUGCUUCCACAACCACCAUCAUAGUAACAUAUGGAGGGUCAUUGAGGGACCCGAGUAUAAGCAUCAUGAAUGGGAGUAGUACUAUUUAAUUAUAACUCAUACUUGUUGCAUUACUCAAGGUGGGGCACGAGAUGCUACAUAGGAUGCAAUAGGCAUGAAAUACUUCAUACAUUAGAUGUCUAGAUCAUAAAUAGAGAGUCGUUUGGGUAUAAACAUAGUACAACAUGAGUUUGUAGGGAUGAGCUUAUGGUGAAAAACAUGAGCGCAUAUAUCAUAACUUGGAUAACAUAAGGCCAGAAUUCAUGAAGUUAAUGAUUGAGACAAGGCUUGAUACUUGAAGUUAUUGCUUCCUAUUUUUAGAGUUGAGAUAGUCAUGAGUUUGCAUAAACUUUAUCACUUUAGGCUUAACUCGACAUAAAACGAAUCGGUAACAUACAGAAAGCGUAGUUCCUUAGAACUAAACAUGAUAUGAGACAUGGAUUUGUGGCUAAUAAGAAUCACAACAUAGAGCUUGAACACUAGAAAGCUUGGAUUACUGAGAGACACAAUUGUCUCUAGUUUGGAGGUCAGAACAUGAACAUAAGUGCAUAGAGAAUGCGAAUCAUAGGCAUGACUUGAAUACAUAAGACAUUAGUAGAAUGACCUCUUAAAUUGAAGUAGGAGGAGCUUGCUUGAAUAGGACUAUUUAUCAUGAAUCUUUUCUGAAAUUUGCCACCAUGAGAAAAUUCGGGAACUACCUUAAGUCAUCAUCUCCCCCUUAGAUCAAAGUCACAAUCCUAGACUUAAGGACAUGUCCUCUCAUAAAAUGUACAAGCACAACACUCAACGGAAUGGGGUAUCACCAUACACAUAAACGCUAAACUCCCUCUAAUAAACUACACUCUAAAGGCAUUGCUUUCCGGGAAUGUAGACACGUGAUUUUUUACCCUUCCCGAAUUUUUAAACCUAUUUUUUUUCUCUACAUUAAAUACUAAUAUUUUGUCCAAUAUCUAUUUUAGCUCUUAUUUUAUUUUUCAAUAAGUUUUUAGUUGAAAAUAAAUAAAUAAAUAAACUUAUAUUUUGGAAUAUAUUAUUUUUAUUUUUAUUUUUAAAAUAAUACAAAAAAAAUUCAAAAAUAUAUAUUUUCCUUUUAAAUUUUAAUAAAUAAGCUAGUAGUUUUAGUAUCACUUUAAUUAUAUUUAUUUUUGACUAUUUGCAAACUUUUAUUGUAUCUUCUUAAAUAUAAAAUUAAUUAGUUAAUAUUUUAUUUUUUAUUUAUUAUUAUUUUCUAUAUUUCAAUUAAAAAAUAUAUAAAAAAAUUCAAAUCCUAAAACUAUCCAACCUCUUCCCCCUUAUCUGAUUCCUCUUAAUUGUUCCCCCCAAAAGCGCUUUAUUUAAGGGAAUUUCCUCAAAUUACAUCAGACAAAAUUACGAACUUGGGACAUUGGAAAAGACAGAGAGAAUCAGAAAAAGAAUUGAGAGAGAAAAAUUAACAAAAAGAAAAAUACAGUCAAGGAAAGACUUUGAAGAAGAAAACAAAGAAAGGCAGUAAAAAAGAGAAGAAAAGAAAGAAAAGAGUGAAGGUCAGGUUUCCGUUUGGAUUUUCAGUGUCGGUGUUUUUGUUCUUAUAAUCAUUUAAGUUCAUCACACAGGUUCUUAUCCCAUUUUUAUACUGUUAUUCCAUAAAUUUUAUCAUUGUGAAUCAAAGUAGGAAAUCUGAGUUGAUUAUUUUGGUGUGGUUUUAAAUCUGAGUUGUAUGCUUAAUUGCCCUUUCGAGCAUUUUAAUAUUUGUGCGUGGAUUUGGACGUUUCAAGAUAUUAAUAUCUUGAAUAUAAAUAUGUUCUAAUUUGUGUUUGAAUUAAAGUGGACUCUAAUCUAUUAUCUAUUCAUCGAUGGAGAAGAUGAGAUACAUUUUUAAACAUUAAUUCCUAAAGCUAAAACAAAUUCAUUUAGAUUUGAAUUACGAAUAUGCCUCAUGUUUUCUUGUUUCUUAAAUCCAAGUACCUUGCUGUUUCUUUUUCAUGUUAAAAUUCAUAUUGCAUGAAUUGUUAUAAACAUGAAAUCUAAAUAAUUCUAUUCUAUGAAGGACAUGUGGCUUAUGACAGUCAUAUAUCAAUUUUGUUAUCUACCGUUUCAAAUCUCACCUUCACUUACAACGAUUGAAUUAUUUUUCGUGAUUAGUUGUUGCUAAUUUGUGCUUGUAAUUAGUUUGUUUUGAUUCAUAAAUAUUAGAACCAUCGACCUCUUGUUAAAACUUUAUGGCCAAAUAAUUAAAUGUGAGAGAAUCGAGAUGAGAUAUGAAUUUUGUUUUGAAACUUCUUGUAAAAGAGUGAAUAGGAAUAAAAUGAAUAAGAAAAAAUUAUCUCGAGUUUACAAGAGAUGAAAUCAACAUCUUUAAUGCAAGGUAAAUUUUAGACACGUUUAAAUUUUUUGUCUCAAUUAAGAAAGCGGCGUACGCAUCUUAUUGUGACAUUUAAAAAUAAUUCAAAGAUGCAAUAAUGCACUUUGACAAAUAUUUUCUAAAAUUAAUUUUCACUAGUUUAAUAUAAGAUAUAUAGACAGAUUUAAGUAUAAUAAAAAAUGAGUGAAUUUCGGCCUUAAUACGAUUUAUCAAAAUAGUUUAAGUCAAGAUAAGUCAAUAAAAGUGACUGAAUUAGAACCACGGGAUCCGAGGGGUGCCUCACACCUUCCCAUCGGUCAACAGAAUUCCUUACCCGGUCUUCUGUUUUUGCAGACCAAUGAAGAGUCAUUUUCUUUUGAUUACAGAUUCAAAAGGUGACUUGGAACACCAUAACUCAAUUUCGAGCGGCAACUCUGUAAAUAAAUUAAUCCCUAAUCAAUAUCGUCACUUUUCAGAAAAAUCCUUUGACUCGACCCUCGAGCAAAAAAGAGGUGUGAAUCUCUGACGACUCUGCUGGGGACUAUUAUAAUUCGAGCAUUUAAUAUUUACUUUUACUUGCUUUAGUUAUUUUUGUUAUUGUGUUUGUUGGCCUAAUGUGCUACUUGUUGUUCAUUUAUUGCUUUGAUAUUGAUUGAACUGUAUAUAAAUUGUAUUUUUUUGUGCACCCCUUUUGAGUCUUUGAAAAUAGGAUAGAAGCAAUGCAACAUAUGCAUCCUACCUUCUUUUUGAGAUAGCCGGAGUGUCAAAGCACCUGGUUAAGGAUUAUUAGUCACACAUGUUAAGCGGGGUUCGAAUCGACAACGAAGGCGGAGUAGCACUGCUACCGAAUAAGUUGUUCCUUCCCGACUCUGGCGUCCGCUCGGGUAACCCAGUCUAGACACCUAUUCCUAUUAGGUUAAACUUAGAAGAACUGAAACUCAGAAUCUGGUUAUCCCUAUUAGGUUCCGCUUUAUUUGCAUCGUAUGCAUUUGACUUAGCGGGACUCGGCACAGGAGUCGGGUCUGCCUAGGACAGGUGUCCCUCUUUAUACAGAUGUCCCUCUUUAUAAUGACCAACAUGUACAUCCUACGUGCUCUUUGACAUUUAUUUAGAAGGAUAUUUGAUUGUUGACCGGCUUUUAGUAACUUGGUAAAAUGCAAGAGAGUAUAUUGUCCUCCAAUUUAGUAAAUCACUUUUCAAAGAAAAUAAAAAAUAUACAUAGUUUUUUAAGGUUUUCAUGAACUAUUUAGCGGGAUACCUAGGAAGCCCUAUUUAGCGGGAUACCUAGGAAGCCCUUUUUCGGGAUACAACCCUAUCUUUUGAAAAGUUAUUCAUAGGUUUAUUUGAAAAAUAUUUUGAAAAUAUGAUUACUUUCUUAAUUAUUUUUCUUAUACUCAAGUUCAAUUUUUAUACAUAUAUAUACAUAUAUAUAUAUACACACACACACACAAACGUGCAUUUAAAAAGAAACAGAAACAAUUUUUCUGCUUCAGGAAAGAAGAAAAAAAUUUCUGCUUUUCAAAAAAAGUAGAAGCAGAAAAUUACUUUUGUUAUGACACUUCAAAUUUACAUCAUAAUUCUUUAUUUUAUUUAUGAUUUAUAAAUUAUUAUUUUAUUUUUACUCAUUUUCUUUAAAUAAAUUUUAAAAAAUCAUCGAUGAUGAUCCGAAGAAUAUAUAACUUUUUAUUUUUUAUUAUUAAUAAUAACAAAUGAUAGAUGAAUCACCUUACAAGAAUAAAUGAUAUUUUGACAACACUUGUAAAUUUUUUCUCGAAUAUUUAAUUUUGUUACCAUGUAGUUUACAUAUAUGAAGAAGGAGAUGAGCCUUCUGGUAUACCUUCAGCAAUACAAGACAGAUCUUCUACUCGUAUGGAGAUAUUGCAUAAUAAAAUUAAGGAUGAAAUCAUUGAUAAUUUUGUGAUGUAUGAAGGACUAAUUAUUUUUGGCGUUAAUUUUUUCAUAAAUAAUGAUUUAAUUUAUGAAAUAAUUUUUAUAUUUGUUUUUGUUUGAUAUUUUAAAGUGAUUUUUAAAUUAUUUAAGUAAUACAUCAUUAUUAAUAUUUUUCAUGUAUUUAUGUAUAUAAAUAUUGAUUGAAAAUUUUAGAGUACGUACUUUUUAAUUAAAUAAAAAUAAAAUUUUAAUUAAAAAUAUUAUAAUAGAUAUUUAAAAUAAUUUUUUCUCUAUAAAUUGAUUUUAGUAGUAAAAGUCUAUUGAUACAUGUCCUUUUUGGCCAUUUGUCUCAAAAAAGAACUUCUUGAAAAAGAUUAUCCAAACACAAGUUGUUUAUCAAAAGUACUUUACAAAUGAAUUUACCAAACACAAAUUACUUUUUUCAAAAACACUUUUCUGAAAAGUUAUUUUAUAAAAGUGUUUUUUAAAUAAAUAGUUUUGUAAUAGCAAUCUCAAACGGACUCUAAGUUUUUACAAAAUAAAAUAUAUAUAAAUCUUAACAGUCCUGAAUCUUUAGGGGUCUUGAGGCUGAAUUUUAUAUGACAUAUAUUUCACAAACAUCGCAUACCUGAUUCUCACAUUGAUGAGAUACAUAGGAGACCUUUAUUGGGUUCGGUGAUAUUCUUAAGAAAAGUUUUAAAAAUAUUAAACCCUGACCCAUUCAUUAUUACCAAAGUAAAAAUAAUAUUUAGGUGGUUGGUUUGUGGCUAAAUUGACAUCUCACCCAUACAACACCAGGUCCAAAAAAACAGGCAAGAUGACCAACAAAAAAUGGUAUAGGGUCUGAGAUGAGUUGGUGUAGACUGUUAGAAAUGAAGAAUAAGAAGAAAUGAUAUUUGGAGCAAAAUAUGAGAAAUAUACAAAUACUGAAAGAGGAAAAAAGAGUUUCUUACAAGAAUUUGUACAUGUUUAACAAUGUUCACUUGCCUCUAGAGUCCAAAACAUCAAAGUUGGACAUGUACGAGGGCCAUGGUGAUCCUUUGGCUCAUGUGAAAAAGUUUUCUAAUCAAAUAAGAUGAGCAAGGGNNNNNNNNNNNNNNNNNNNNGAAAGAGAAAACUGCUGACGAUUUACUUUAGAGAGUUUGAUGGUGAUAAAUUUAGAAUGGUUAGGGCCAAGAAGAAAAAUAAAAGUUGUAGCAAUGAUUAUGGAGACUCCGUUAAGGUUGAUGUGCAAAUCAAUGGCUAAAAUAUCAAAGCUCGGCAAUUCAAAAGUCACUUCACUCCUCACGAGGAGAGAGUUUUGGUAGUCAGUUUGUUUUUUUUCUGGCUACCCGAAUUAUUUCUGGGUUGUAGUUCAGGAUCUAUCUUAUCUUAUUUCUUAUCAUCUCUGUUCAAACCCUUUUAUCUUUCUGACAACAAAAUGUGUGUCCCUUUUAUUUUUAUGUUUAUUUAUUUUUUAUUUUAUUUUAUUUAUUUGUCUUUCCUUUCUUUACAUAGUUCUUUUUAUAGGGAUUUUAUUGAUAUGACAUGCAUGAUGAAUUUUCAUCAGAUCUUAAAACCCAAUCUAAUGCUGAAACAUCGAGUCAAGAAAUUAAGUUGAAAAAAAAAUAUAAGGAAAUAAGUAAAGUAUUGAGAUAUUUGGGGACCUAGUUACAGCCUCACUUGAAUAUAUUGAGGCAAUCACUUUGCGAAUAAAAAUGACUUGGUCUUUAAUGAGAAGGUCCAUCUCAAGCAUUUUGAAUGAGAUCAACCAGAGAAUAUAUAAUUUCUAUUGUCAAAAAAACAAAAGAAAGUUAACUAAAAAAAAUAGUCAUCUAUUGUGAGGAAAGUACAACACAAAUGGGCUUAUAUGUUUCACAAGCAUGAAAGAAGUGACACAUGAGAACCUUCUCAAUCAAGGGCAAUGUUGAAAAGAUGUGCAUGAUUUUUACGAUCCACUCGUUCAUUGCAUGUUAUGUAUUUGCAUUUUUAAGUAUUGAUAUGACGUAGACAUUUGAUUCUUCUAUCCAAAUGUUGUGUCAUCCUUGCUUACCCCCUUUGAGCUUUGAUUCGAUUUAUCUUUCAUAAUCCUUUUUUGGAAUCAAUUAAAGUCAAAAGUUCAAAGUGAAAAGAAAAAUGAAAAUGAUGAUGAUAAAAAAAAUAAUGAUGAAAAAAAAUUAAAAAUCAAAGUCAAGUAAAAGAAAGACUUGCCUGAACUACGUUUGACCUGAUUCUUGCUAUGAAAAGAUACGUAGGUACCCCUAUUGUGGGUUCGGUCCAAUCAAGCAAAAAUUCAAAGUUACCCAGUAUGAAAUAAAAUUGGGAAAAAAGUUAUUUUCUUUAUAAGUCGAUUCUGAAAGUUGUAAAUCUUACCCUAUAUAAUAUAUAUUUUGAGCCUCAUGUCUCCUUUUCUUUCUAACCUUUUCCAAAAGACAAGUUACAACCAAAGAAAGAUCUUCUGUUCAAUCUUUGAGAAUGUCAAGGCUAAGCAUGUUAUAGGUAUAUUAUGUUUCAUAUUUUGGGCUUCAUUUUCCUUCGUCGAUAAACAAAACAGUAAGAACAAUAAAAAAUGAGAGUCUUAUUGGUGAAAACCCUCUUGGGCACCAUAAGGUGAUAGUGAGUUGUGAGAACAAUAAAAAUGAGAGUCUUAUUGGUGAAAACUCUCAUGGGCAUCAUAAGGAGACAGUGAGUUAAUAAGGAAAUGAAAAUAAUAUAGGCUCAUUGGCGAAAACUCAUUGAGGUGCCACUAGCCGAAGGAGGAUUGUAAUCCAAAGGGAGCAAGUUCAAAAAUGUAUGCAUUUCAAAUUCAAUAAGUUAACAAAAGUUGACAAAUGAUUAGUGUAGAAAGAUCCGGUUGUUUAAUUCAAAAUGCAUAUCAUAAUCACUGGAAUCAGCUACUACACCCAGAUAAGUUUUUCUUUUUGACAUUUUUGAAAAAAAAAAGAGAUGUCUAUUGUCUUUUUCUUUUGUUAUUUUAAUUUUAAUUUUUAAUUUUUGUGUCUUUGUGGUAAAAAAGAAAGUUCACUAUCAUCAUCUUUUGGGUAUUUUUGAGUCAAAUUUAUGUCAAGACAAGUGAAGAAGGACUUCAAAACUUGGUAUCAACUCCUUCAGUUGUGCAAAUCAAGACAAAGAGCCGACACACAAAGAUAACAUGUUUCAAAAAUAAAGCAAGGUAUUCGAGAAUGCUUGUUAUCCGAAAGUUUUUUUUACACUCAUAAGUAUAUAAAAGGUGCAUUAGAAGUUAAACCCAGAGGCAUUAUGCAAGGAAAAUACGAGUUGAGUGAGAUGCUUUUAGUAGCUAGAAUUUGGGAUCAAAAGUAUGACAAGUCAACAAUAUCUAUCAAUGAUUUGAAAUGGAGUUGAGCAUGACAAGUGCAAGAGUCAUCGCCUAGGUAGCCAAAUGCCGCAAAUCAACCACCGUGUUUUUUAAAAAACUCACAAGUUUUCGUUAUAUGAAACAAAAAACACAUGUUGUCUUUAAAUCAAGGGAUUUAAAGGUUAAAUAUCAAAAGAUCCAUUUCCUCACUUUUACGAAUGCAGGAGGCAAUAUUGCUUCACAUGUUUAGUAAUCACAGUUAUGGUGAAAACUCAUCAUCCCAUGCCCCUAGGAGACGCACUUCCUAGUCUGAAUAAUUCAAGUUUUUAUUUGUUAGGUAACACACUUUCUAGUCGAGUCAUUUCAUUUAACCCCUAGGAGACGCACUUUCUUGUCUGGAUAAUUUAAGUUUUCAUUUGUUAGGUAACACACUUCCUAACUUGAAUCUUCACUCCUAGAAAACACACUUUCUAGUUGAGUUAUUUCACUUAACCCCUAGAAUAUAUGCUUCCUUAUCUGGGAUAUUUUAGUUGUUUGUUAGGUAAGGCACUUCCUAACUUGAACCAUUACUCUUAGAAGACACAUUUUCUGGUCGAGUUCUUACAUUUACCCCUAAGAGACACACUUCUUUGUCAGGGUAUGUCAGUUUUCAUGUGUUAGGUGACACACUUCCUAACUUGAAUCUUUACUCCUAGAAGACAUACUUUCUAUUCGAGUCAUUUCAUUUAACCCUUAGGAGAUGCACUUUCUAGUCAAGUUAUGUUAGUUUUCAUAUGAUAGGUAAUGUACCACCUAACUUGAACAUUCACUCCUAGAAGACGCACUUUCUAGCUGAGUCAUUUCAUUUAACCCCUAAGAGACACACUUCCUUAUCAGAGUAUGUCAGUUUUUAUGUGUUAGGUAACGCGCCUCCUAACUUAGACAUUCACUCCUAGAAGACGCACUUUGUAGUCGAGUCAUUUCAUUUAACCCCUAGGAGACACACUUCCUAGUCAGGGUAUGUAGGUUUUCAUGUGUUAGGUAACGCACUUCCUAACUCGAACACUCACUCUUAGAAGACGCACUUUCUAGUUGAGUCAUUUAAUUUAACCCCUAGGAUAAGUGCUUCCUUAUCUGGGUUAUUUCAGUUAUUUGUUAGGUAAGGCGCUUCCUAACUUGAACCUUCAAUCCUAGAAGACGUAUUUUCUAAUCGAGUUCUUACAUUUACCCCUAGGAGACAGACUUCCUUGUUAGGGUAUGUCAGUUUUCAUGUGUUAGGUGACGCACUUCCUAACUUGAAUCUUUACUCCUAGAAGACACACUUUCUAUUCAAGUCAUUUCAUUUAACCCUUAGGAGACACAGUUUCUAGUCAGGGUAUGUCAGUUUUCAUAUGUUAGGUAAUGCACCUCCUAACUGGAACAUUCACUCCUAGAAGGCGCACUUUCUAGUUGAGUCAUUUCAUUUAACCCUAGAGAUGCACUUCCUAGUCAGGGUAUGUCAGUUUUCAUGUGUUAGGUAACACACUUCCUAACUUGAAUAUUCACUCCUAGAAGACGCACUUUUUAGUCUAGUCAUUUCAUUUAAUUCCUAGGAGACGCACUUCCUAGUCAGGGUAUGUCGGUUUUAUGUGUUAGGUAACACACUUCCUAACUUUAACAUUUACUCUUAGAAGACGCUCUUUCUAAUUGAGUUAUUUCAUUUAACCCCUAGGAGACUCACUUCUUAGUCAGGGUAUGUCAGUUUUCAUAUGUUAGGUGACACACUUCCUAACCUGAACAUUCACUCUUAGAAGACGCACUUUCUAGUCGAGUCAUUUUAUUUAACCCCUAGGAGACACACUUUCUUGUCAAGAUAUGUAAGUUUUUAUGUGUUAGGUAAAACUCUCCCUAACUUGAACAUUCACUCCUAGAAGAUGAACUUUCUAGUCGAGUCAUUUAAUUUAACCCCUAGGAGACGCACUUCCUAGUCAGGGUAUGUCAGUUUUCAUGGGUUAGGUAACGCACUUCCCAACUUGAACAUUCACUUCAAGAAGACGCACUUUCUAGUCGAGUCAUUUCAUUUAACCCGUAGGAUACGCACUUCCUAGUCAGGGUAUGUCAGUUUUCAUAUGUUAGGUAAUGCACUUCCUAACUUGAAGAUUCACUCCUAGAAUACGCACUUUCUAGUUGAGUCAUUUCAUUUAAUCCCUAGGAGAUGCACUUUCUUGUUUGGGUAAUUUAAGUUUCAUGUGUUAGAAGAUGCAUUUCCUAAUUUUGGUCAUCAUAUUUACUCUGAAAGAACACAUUUCUUUAGUAGGGCCUUGAUUCACCCUCUUUACUAUACUUUUCAAAAGUUGUGAUCUGAUGACUCUCACAAAAUUUUCUAGUGCAAAAUUGGGCAAUAAUUUUGUUCGUAUUUAUGGGACUUUACUUUUCAGCUCAGGACCCUCCUGAAGAAUGAGAAUUUAUUUUAUGCUCAGGACCCUCCCGAAGAAUGAAUUUUUUUUUUUUGCUCAGGACUCUUUUGAAGAAUGGAAAUUUAUUUUUUGGCUCAGGACCCUUCUGAAGAAUGAGAAUUUAUUUGAUGCUCAGGACCCUCAUGAAGAAUGAGAAUUUAUUUUAUAUUCAGGACCCUCCUGAAGAAUGAGAAUUUAUUUAUACUCAGGACCCUCCUGAAGAAUGAAAAUUUAUUUUAUGCCCAGGACCCUCCUGAAGAAUGGGAAUUUAUUGAUGCUAAGGACUCUCCUGAAGAAUGGAAAUUUAUCUAUGCUCAGGACCCUCCUGAAGAAUGGAAAUUUAUUUUUUUGGCUCAGGACCCUCCUGAAGAAUGAGAAUUUAUUUUAUGCUCAGUACCUUCCUGAAAAAUGGAAAUUUAUUUUAUGCUCAGGACCUUCUGAAGAAUGGUAAUUUAUUUUCUGCUCAGGACCUUCCUGAAUAAUGAAAAUUUAUUUUAUUCUCAAGACCCUCCUGAAGAAUGAGAAUUUAUUCUAUGCUCAGGACCUUCCUGAAGAAUGAAAUUUAUUUUAUGCUCAGAACCCUUUGAAUAAUAGGAAUUUAUUUUCUGCUCAGGAUCUUCCUGAAUAAUGGGAAUUUAUUUUAUUCUCAAGACCCUCCUAAAAAUGAGAUUUUUCUUUUCUAGUUUACCUUUUAUUUUGAGUCAAGAGCAUGCCUGAAAAACAGGGUGAAGAAAUAACAAGUCAGGAGCCCACCUGAAAAAUAGGGUGAAGAAAUAGCAAGUCAGGAGCCCUCAUGAAGAACGGGGUGAAGAAAUAGCAAGUUAAGAGCCUGCCUGAAGAAUAAGGUGAACAUUAUCAGUUGCAAGUUCAGGAGCCUGCCUGAAGAAUAAGGUGAAGAUUUUCAAGUUCAAGUCAGAGGAAAUUCUGAAGAAUGAAGAUUGUGAAGUUCCUCUCCAAUGCCAAGAAUCAACAUGGAGGAAAAUUUCAUUUUUCAGGACUCAACUCAAAAUAACGAUUAUCUCACUAUUUGAGAAGUCAUAAAGAUUCAAGUCAAGAUUCUAGAAUAACUGAAUAGAUAGGAUCUUUCACUUAUAUCUUCAAUUUUAUUUUUGUUAUUCAUGUGAAUGUAAAAGCAGAAAUUGUGAACCGAAAACUCAACGGAACCUCACUCGACCUCUAACUCAUUCUCUCACCAUUUUACCUUUGAAUUACACGUGACCUGAUUCCCUUAUAACCCGAGAUAUGUAGGCGGUCUAAAAUCAAGACUCGAUCACAUCUUUUAUUUCAUUUUAUUCUAUCCUCACUUUUCGAAUAAUCGGAGGAUCAAAAAUCAUCUAUUUAUCUACUUCUUUGUAUGAAAACUCUUUGAGAUUUCAUAGAAAGAGGGGCAAAAUGUAAACACGUAAUUUUUGACCCUCCUCGAGUUUUUAAACCUAUUUUUUUCUCGACAUUAAAUACUUAUAUUUUGUCCAAUAUCUAUUUUAGCUCUUAUUUUAUUUUUCACUAAGUUUUUAGUUGAAAAUAAAUAAAUAAAUAAAGUUAUAUUUUGGGAUAUCUUAUUUUUAUUUUUAAAAUAAUACAAAAAAAUCAAAAAUAUAUAUUUUCUUUUUAAAUUUUAAUAAAUAAGCUAGUAGUUUUAGUAUUACUUUAAUUAUAUUUAUUUUUGACUAUUUGUAAAAUUUAUUUUAUUUUCUUAAAUAUAAAAAUUAAUUAGUUAAUAUUAUCUUAUUUAUUUAUUAUUAUUUUCUAUAUUUUAAUUAAAAAUAUUUAAAAAUAAAUAAAUCCUAAAACUACCCAACCUCUUCCCUCCUUAUCUGAUUCGCCUUUAACUGUUCCCCUCAAAAGCCCUUUAUUUAAGGCAAUUCCCUCAAAUUACAUCAAACAGAAUUACGUACUUGGGACAUUGGAAAAGACAGAGAGAAUCAGACAGAGAAUUGAGAGAGACUUGGGACAUUCGAAAAGACAGAGAGAAUCAGAAAGAGAAUUGAGAGAGAAAAAUUAACAGAGAGUAAUAUAUACAAGGAAAAACACCAACAUGGAUUGUGGUGCAGCGGAUGGGGCUGCGCGAAUCUGGAUUAGUCGGGCUCUAAUGCGGAUACCGAACAUAGGAUGGAAAACCAAAAAAAAAACAUACAAGGAAAAACUUUGAAGAAGAAAACAAAGAAAGGCAGUAAAAAAGAGAGGAAAAAUAAAGAAAAGAGUGAAGGUCAGGUCUCCGUUUGGACUUUUGGAGGUGGGGUUUCUGUUCUUAUAAUAGUUUAUGUUCAUUACAAAGUCUCUUAUCCCAUUUUUGUACUGUUAUUCCUUAAGUUUUAUCAUUGUGAAUCAAAGCAUGAAAUCUGAGCUGAUUUUUUGUGUGGUUUUUAAUCUGAGUUGUAUGUUUAAUUGCCCUUCAGAGAAUUUUAAUAGUUGUCCGUGGAUUUGGAGGUUUUCAAGAUAUUAAUAUCUUGAAUAUAAAUAUGUUCUAAUUUGUGUUUGAAUUAAAGUGGACUCUAUUAUCUAUUCAUCGAUGGAGAAGAUGAGAUACAUUUUUAAACAUCAAUUCCUAAAGCUAAAACAAAUUCUUUUAGAUUUGAAUUACGAAUCAGUUAGAGCAAAAAAUGAUAAUGGUAUGCAUCAUGUUUUCUUGUUUCUUAAAUCCAAGUACCUUGCUGUUUCUUUUUCAUGUUAAAAUUCAUAUUGCAUGAAUUGUUAUAAACAUGAAUUAUUUUCUGUGAUUAGUUGUUGCUAAUUUGUUCUUGUAAUUAGUUGGUUUUGAUUCAUAAAUAUUAGAACCAUCCACCUCUUGUUAAAAGUUUAAGGCCCGAUAAUUAAAUGUGACAGAAUCGAGAUGAGAUAUGAAUUUUGUUUUGAAACUUCUUGUAAAAGAGUGAAAAAAGAAUAAGAAAAAAUUGUCUCGAGUUUACAAGAGAUGAAACCAACACUUUUAACCCUAGAAAAAUUUUAGACACGUUUAAAAUUUUUGUCUCAUUUAAGAAUACGACGUAUGCAUCUUUUCGAGACACUUAAAAAUAUUUUAAAGAUGCAAUAAUGCACUUUGAUAAAUAUUUUCUAAAAUUAAUUUUCACUAGUUUAAUAUGAGAUAUAUAGACAGAUUUAGGUAUCAUAAAAAAUUAGCGAAUUUAGGUCUUAAUAAGAUUUAUCAAAAUAGUUUAAGUCAAGAUAAGUCAAUAAAAACAACCGUAUUAGAACCACAGGAUUCGAGGGGUGCCUCACUCCUUCCCCUCGGUCAACAGAAUUCCUUAUCCAAUAUUCUGUUUGUGCAGAUCAAUGAAGAGUCAUUUUCUUUUGAUUAGGGAUUCAAAAGGUGAUUUGGAACACCAUAACUCAAUUCUGAGUGGUGACUCUGUAAAUAAAUUAAUCCCUAAUCAAUAUCGUUACUCUAAUUGAAAAAACCCUUCGACUCGACCCUCGAGCGAAAAGGGGUGCGACAGGGAACGCAACUCUUAACUUUUGUUAGGCUCUAUAGCAAUCACCCUACAACUCACUAUCUCAUGAGCAUAUACAUCCUCACUCCUUAUCACAUAAAAAAAUCCAUUCUCCACUUCUUAACAUUCUAACAUUAGAACUCUAAUCAAACAACUUACAACUUAAUAAAAUUUGUAAAGCUAUACCAAAGGCACAUAUUGCCUACCUAUAUUACCUCAAUUCAACUCUAAAUAACAUCGUACAACAACUCCCCAGACUUCUCCAUACUACAAAAUUCAAGAACAUAAACUAGGUGCACAUGACACUUAUAUGUAUAAAACCUUAUCUAACAACAUGCUACCUAGGGUUCGACUCAUUCUUAUAUACUUAACACUCUUAUCCACUUAAUGACUCAACCAAAAUUCAUCAUUUUAAGAGUAGUCUCUUGUAUAUACAAAUAUAUCACAAUUAUCCACUCCUUUUUCCCAAGUUACCAACGUAGGAUAUUACACACAUCAAAUCAAGCCUACUACUUACUCCCACAAAAUAUGCAUUAUUAAUCUGAAGUUACUUUCUAACCACCACAAUCCACAUCUAAAGUUCAAGCCUAUUGUCUAGAACCAAUCAUGUACCAUCGAUGAGGCAUGCCACAUAUUAUACUAGUCUAUCAAAUUGGGAAAGCAACCCAAAUACCACAUCUCACUUAACUAUGACCUAUAAUCACAUCUCCUCCAUGACAUUACAAUUACAUCUCAAAAUCUACUACGUACCUUCUCACAUGCAGUGCUAGUUUACAACUACAAAAAAAAGACAAUCAAGAGGGCUAAAGUCACAUAAUGAGGAAUGCAAUACCAAUAUCAUGCAAUUGCAAAGACUUUAUUAAAAUUGUAGUUGACCCUAUGAACUCAUCUUUGGUUCUAGAUAAAUCAAUUUAGGUAUUACCUCAAUAAUAAGUUAAUAUGAAUAAUUUCAACUCAGAUUGAUCGACUGACGACUCAUAUCAGGAGGAACACAAUACCAACAUCAUGCAAUUGCAAAGACUUAAUUGAAACUGUAGUUGACCCUAUGAACUUAUCCCUAGUUCUAGGUAAAUAAAUUUAGGUAUUAUCUUAAUAAUAAGUUAAUUUGAAUCAUUUCAACUCAGAUUGAUUGAUUGACAACUCAGGUUAGGAGGAACGUAAUACCAACAUCAUCCAAUUGCAGAGACUCAAUUGAAAUUGUAGUCGAACCUAUGAACUCAUCCCUAGUUCUAGCUAAAUCAAUUUAGGUAUUAACUUAAUAAUAAGUUAAUAUGAAUUAUUUCAACUCAGAUUGAUCGAUUGAUGACUCAAGUCGGGAGAAACACAAUACCAACAUCAUGCAAUUGCAAAGGCUCAAUUAAAAUUGUAGUUGACCUUAUUAAUUCAUCCCUAGUUAUAGCUAAAUAAAUUUAGGUAUUAUCUCAAUAAUAAUUUAAUACUCCCUCUGUUUCAAAAAGAAUGACCCCUUUUCUCUUUUGAAAAUACUUUAAUGUCAGCUUUCCACAUGGCAUGUUUAGGGCCAUAAGAUUAAAGUGCAUUUUUGUAAAUUUGACACUACUUUAAUUUAAGGCCACAAGUUUCAAUUUUUUUUUAUUUUCUUAAAUUUUAUGCCAAGUCAAAGUAGGUCAUUCUUUUUGAAAUUGAGGGAGUGUGAAUCAUUUCUACUUAGAUUGAUUAGUUAACGACUCAGAUCGGGAGGAACGCAAUACCAAUAUCAUGCAAUUGCAAAGACUCAAUUGAAAUUGUAGUUGACCCUAUGAACUUAUCCAUGAUUAUAGGUAAAUCAAUUUAGAUAUUAGCUUAAUAAUAAGUUAAUAUGAAUCAUUUCAAUUCAGAUUGAUCGAUUGAUGACUCAGGUCGGGAGAAACACAAUACCAACAUCAUGCAAUUACAAAGACUCAAUUAAAAUUAUAGUUGACCCUAUGAACCCAUCCCUAGUUCUAGCUAAUCAAUUUAGGUAUUAUAUUACUAAUAAGUUAAUAUGAAUCGUUUCAACUCAGAUUGAUCGGUUGAUAAUUCAAGUCGGGAGGAACGCAAUACCAAUAUCAUGCUAUUACACAGACUCAAUUCAAAUUGUAGUUGACCCUAUGAACUCAUCCCUAGUUCUAGCUAAAUCAAUUUACGUAUUAUCUAAAUCAUAGGAUUAACAUGAAUCAUUUCAACUCAGAUUGAUUGAUUGAUGACUCAGGCCGGGAGUAACGCAAUAAAAACAUAAUGCAAUUGCAAAGACUCAAUUAAAAUUUUAGUUGACCCUAUGAACUCACCCCUAGUUCUUGCUAAUUCAAUUGCAAGAAAAUCUAUUGCAAUAGAUCACUUAUCUGUUGUAAAUUAUCAAAUAUACAUUUACAUCUGUUGUAAUAGAUGACUGAGCUAUUGGAAAUUUUCAAAUAGAUAUUGAUAUCUUUGCAACAGAUUAUCUAUCUGUUGUAAAUUAUCAAAGAGACAUUUGCAUCUAUUGCGAAAGUUGACUGAGCUGAUGGAAAUUUUCAAAUAGAUAUUGAUAUCUGUUGCAACAAAUGACAUAUCUAUUUGAAAAUCUUUUUUUUAUUUUAAAGUAAUUUUCUAUCGAAAAAAAAAUAUAAAAUACUAAGGGGGUAAAAAAUAUUUCUUGGACAACUCAAAAAUUUCCUCUUUGAGUUGUCAUAUCUUGUCUUUUCAAUGUCACUCGUCUCCUCGUGCCCUUCAAAGUUAUUAAUGAAUAUUUAAACUCAUCUCUAGAAUUAUCUCUCCUUCAGCUAUAAAUUAUUUCAUAUUAAUGAAUAUUUAAACUCAUCUCUAGAAUUAUCUCUCCUUCAGCUAUAAAUUAUUUCAUCUCUUUUCUUUUUCUUUCUCUCCUAUUUAGGGUCAUCGCAAUCAUCUCCUUGUUUCUCUCUUUUCUCUCCUCUUUCUCAUGAGGAUCAUUUCAGAUCUCAACCGAUCUAUAUCUUUUCUUAAUUGAAAUUGUUGUUUUGAUCCUCUUGCUUUUAAUAUUGCAGGUAUGGUUCACUAUUGCUCUUUCAUUCUUGUCUUUUUCUUUGCAAGUUAUUUAAAUUAGUUAUUUAAAUUUUUUUUAUUUAAUUACCCAUUAACCAUAUCCUAUUUAUUGAGAAAAUUGAAGAAAAGAUGACUUUUAAGUAUUGAAUGAAUGAACGGUUGUUUUUAUUAAAAUAUGCAAAAAAGUCAUCUGUUGUGAGAACUUUAGAAGCGUUGUUGACAUUAUCAUUUUUUUGUACGUAUUUUUUUGUUUCUUUAUUAUUGAUGUUGUUAUUGAUAUUGUUGGUGGGAUUAGUGUUGUUGGAACAUGUGGGGUUGGUAUUUUUGAUGGUGUUGGAACAAAUAUUGUUGUUUCUUUAUUGUUGAUAUUGUUGUUGAUGUUGCAUAGAUGGAAUAACUAUUGGAACAAAUCAAACCACUAGCAAGGCUGGUUUAAUUUAUUCUAAUAGGUGACCCAUAUGUUGCAACAUGUCAUCCAUUUGUUACAACAGAUGCGUAGCCUGUUACAAUAGAUCAUCCGUCUUUUGAACAGAUGUGGAAUCUGUUGCAAGAGAUGGGUAAUAUGUUAUAAUAGAUGGGAAAUCUAUUGUAACAGACAUGUUGCAACAUUUGGGUCAACUGUUGAACAGAUGUUGAAAUGUGUUGUAUUUAUUCAAUUUUGUGUUACCUUUUUUAAAAAUUAUGCAGACAUCAGUUGUAAUGUUCUGUUUGUUCUUCUCUUGUUUGAAAUCAAUUGUUUUUCUCCUUUUUAUAGAUAUAAGGAAGUGAAAGUUGAUCAAAUUUUUCCCGACCAACAUAAAAGGCUAUAAUAAAGAAGGGUUCGGAGGAAUAAGUUGCUUGCAGAAGAAACCACUUCAUAUGUGGAAGGUAUGUAUUAUUGAUCAUGUUAUCGUGAAAACACACAUUUGAUAAUUUUCAAGAGCUCUAACAACUACAUAGGAUUCACAUACUACAACAAGCAUCUGAUCUUCUUCAAGAUAUGUUAGAAGUAUGUUAAAGUCAGAUAACACAAUCAAUUACAUCCAUAUUGCUAAGGAAGUAAUUAUAUUCAAUCUGUCUUUCAAUAUUGUUUAUGGUUUUGAUAAGGUCAAUAGCAGUGGACCUAAUUAGAACCACAAACAAGACGGCAUGGGAUGCAAUUUAAAAUUCCAAUACCGCCUUGGAUUGAUUCUUUAUUUUAACUUCAACUGUUCUUGGCGCAAAUUUUCUUGACUUACUGUACAUUAUUUCAACCCUCGAUGCUUGCAAAGCUUCUUUCUUGGUGUUCUGUUAUUUUCUCUGUAGGUGAUCAAUAUGUUAUAAAUUAUCAAACAGAUAGAAUAUAUUUUGUAACAGAUUACCCAUCUGUUAGAUUUAUUUUAAAGCAAUUUUCUUUUGUUUCCGAAAUACAAUAAAGAUAAAAUGUUACAUUUAGAUCCAUUUUUUAAAUUUACAUAUUCGAAAAGUCACUUCUUUUAUUUAAUUAAGGGAUGUAAUUAUACAUAACUCCACUUCUAGAUAUAGCUGAUCCGUAUUUGGACAAGGUGAUUUUGCGCGACUCCUUGCGGGAACUUGAAAGGUAGAUUCAUGAACUCCGGUGGGAGUUGAGCUCCAUGAGAGCAAGGCUGAAGAGGGCCCUACUACUGCCGGAUGACGAUUGACCGGUUGACAACAACAACAACAACAACAACAACAACAACAACAACAAUAAUAAUAAUAAUAAUAAUAAUAAUAAUAAUCAUAAUUAGGUUAUGUUUUUACUUUUAGCGCAUGUAUUUUAUUUUAUUAUAUCGGAUUUACCUAAGGGAGGAACCUAAUGUAUGUUUUAUUUUUUAUUGUAUAUUUGUACAUAAUGGAUUAAAAAAUCUAUGUUUGAUUGACUUUGAAUUUUUAAUUCUUAUUUAAUAUUUCAUGUUCAUUCUGUUUAUUCAUCAUUCUCAACAUGUCGACGAUUGGAGGUAGGCAUUGAGCGUUUAUUGCAACAGAUGGACCAUAUGUUGUAGCAGAUGGUUAAUCUAUUGCGACAAAUGGAUCAUAUGUUGCAACAGACGAUUAUUAAUAAAAAGGGUUAUUGUUAUUGAGAGGUGAAAAGUCAUGACUUUUUGAUUAUUUAAUAUGAAAAAUGGUUCGUAAAUAAAAAAUAAGGAAAUAAUUGAUAAACAUAAUUUAUAACCAUAAAAAUUGAUUAUUUAUUUUUAAAAACUGAUGUUACUAUUAAAUAGGCGACAAGUCGUGACUUUUCACUAUUUUUUAAAAUAUAUUUUUAAAUUUUUUUAUUAUAUAAUAAAAAAGUCACCAUUUUAGAUUAAUUAAGGUAUAUGAUGAUAAACACAAUUUAUAACCAUAAAAAAUGAUUAUUUAAUUUAAAUAAUUGAUGUUAAUAUUAAAUAGGACACAAGUUGUGACUUUUCAUCAUUUUUGUUUUUAAAUCUAUUUUUUUUAUUUAUAUAGUAAAAAAGUCACCAAUUUGGAUUAAUGAAAGUAUAUGAUGAUCAUUUAAAAAGAUGGUCCCCCAAUAGAUAUUCCAUCUGUUGCAUCGGUUGUAGACAUUUGAUGCAAUAGAUAACCAAUUUGUUGCAACAGAAAGAUUAUAUAUUGCACAAAUGGUUCAUUUGUUGCAACAGAUGGUAUAUCUGUUGUCACAGAUAAGUUAUAUGAUGCAAUAGAUAUACAAUCUGUUGCCAUAAUUAAAUAAAAAUGAUUAUUAUUAUUAAAAGAAACGGUUAUUGAAAAGGUGAGAAGUCUUCGAUUAUUUUAUUGUGAAAAAAGGUUAUUUAAAUUAAAGAACUAAUUAAUAAUAAUAAUCUAAAAAGUCAUGAUUUAUCACAAUAAUCAAAAAGUCAACAACUUGAUUUAAUUAAGUCAUAACUUUUACCAUUAAUCAAAAAGUCUCCAGUUUGAAUGUAAUUAAUAAAAUGGAGGUGAACAUUCAUUCCUUUUUGCCUAAAUUAUUCACAUUUUAUCCUCUAUAAAUAGGUCCCUCCUUACUCGUUUAUUUUACUACACUCUAUUUAUUUCUUGCAUCUUGUCUUUUAUAUUACAUCUUCAACCACUUUCUCUUCAAAGACCAGAUACCUUUUCCCUGACUUAGGUAAGUUUUUUCUUUCUUAUUGUAUAAAUAUACCCAAUUGGUAGUAUACAUUGUAUUACAUUUAGACUCUUUUAUUUACUUGUAUUUUUAUAUUUUUUGUCGAUUCAUGUCUAUUCUAGAUAUGGUUGAUCCUAUAUAGGACAUUGCUAUUUUGCACGACAUCAUGCGGGAACUUAAUAGGAAGGUUAAUGACCUGCAGCGUGAGUUGGGCACCAUGAAAGCAAGAAUGCUCUAAGGGAUACGCAGGCUGAGGAGGGCCCUGCUGCUGUCGGUUGAUGAUUGUCCGACUGACAAUAAUAAUAAUAAUAAUUAAGUUAUUUUUUUUCUUUUAGCGUGUGUAUUUUUAUAUUAAUUUUUAUCUGAUCUACCUACCUAAUGUAUUUUGUUUUGUUUAAUGAAAAAUUUAUGUUUCUGUUUAUUUCUUCUUCUCAACAAACAUGUCGACGAUUGAACGUAAGGAAUAAUUUUGAAUCCAGUAGCAAUAACAAGAGUUUUGAGUUCUUUGAACAGAUAGGCCAUCUGUUAAAACAUAUUGGUUAUCUGUUGGGCUUGUGGCAGGAAUUGUUUUGUGUUGUUCCAAACAGAUUACUCCUCUGUUGCAACAGAUAACUCGUCUGUUACAACAGAUAACUAGUUUGUUGCAACAGAUAAUUAGUCUGUUGCAAUAGAUAACCCAUCUGUUCGAUUUAUGUUAAGGACACUAUAGAACCAUAAACAUGAAUCCAACAUAAGAGUCUUUUAUUGCAACAGAUGAUUCAUCUGUCGUAACCGACGAGUGAUUUGUUUAAACAGAUGACUCUUAUGUUGGAUUCAUGCACGGGUUAUUUCCAUUGUUAAAAAAUGGCAGUAGCAGUUUGCCCAGAUGACAAAUUUGACUAAAAAUCAUAAUUUUACUUACCAAAUUCACCUAUGAAGUAAUGCCAAAGUAAUGUACGAAAUAAAAUUUGACCAAAAAAAUUUGAUCAAGUAGCAGCAGUUGCGGUAAAAACAACAACAAAAGUCGACAAGAACAAUAUGAAGAUGAUAAUAAAGCAGAAGAUGAUGAUGAUGAAGCAGAAGAUGAUGAAUAAAGUAGCAACAACAAUGAACAAUAAAAAUCGCGAAGAGAGGAAAAAUAACGACGGAUGAGAAAAGAGAGAAACACAGAUUUCCCCUCUAUUUCUAGUUAUAUUAGGUUUUAUAUUUGGAUCAAAGUGUAAAUUAAAAAAAGUUGUAGGCUAUUUUCAAAAUUCCCCAACUUUCUUAAUCCAUAAUAAAGUAAUUGUCACCUCCAUUAAAUUAUUAAAACUUAAGUCACCUACACCUCAUUUUCAAACUAUUUUGUCACUUUUAACUAAAUUGCCCACUCAUUGUAUGAGUUCAAUAUCUCUUUCCUCUUGGAAUGAAUUUAAUGAUUAAUAUAUUUUAAUUGUUAGAUUUUUCUUUCUUUCUUUUAAAUAAUCAUAUCUUUAUAUCUUGUUUACUGAAUUGUGAUUCCUUGUAUUUCAUUUUACAUCAUAUUGCAAAAAAGAACACACUCUUACAAAAAUUUUAUUGGUGGAGAUCUGAUGCAAUAAGUGAAAAUUACAAACAAACAAGUUAUGUUUGAAAAGGUACUGAUUAUGUAACACAAAUGAAAUUAAACAAAGGCUACUUGAAUAUUUAGUCAACAAAUAUAAUAAUACAACUUUUAAAUCAUUGAAUUUAUAAGAUCACCUAGCAAAAUUAUUUUGUAAUUACUAAACCAUCCUCGUGAUCGGUAAACAUUUCGACCAUGAAAUGCCUACUUAUUAUGGCUUAUAUAUUAGGAGUUGAACUAUAGAUAUAUAAGCCAUAACAACCAUACACCUCAUGAUCAACAUAGUUGUCGAUCAUGAGGGCAAUAUAGGAAUUAUAAAAUAAUUUUGCUCAGUAAUCUUGUAAAUCGAUGCUUUGAAAGUUGUAUUUAUUAUCAUUGUUGAUCAAAAAUUCAAAUAGGUUUUAUUUAAUUUCAAUUGUGUUAUUUGUAUAAUACUUUUUCAAUGUACAUUUUGCCUUUCGUAUUCUAUUUUAUUACUUUAAUUGUUUGUGUAAUUUGCAAAUAAAAUCACCUUUUUAUUUCAUUAUAACAUGCUUAAAGUGCUUUCAGGUGCAGUACUUUUUUUAUUUACAUUUUACCCUUACUAUUCUAUUUUAUUACUUUAGUUGCUUUAUAUAUUUUUGUAAAUAAAGCCACCUUUUAUGUUUUUUCUACUAGGAUGUUUAAAGUGCUCUCAUGUGCAAUAUUUUUAUUGUUCUACAUAUUAUUUUUGCUCACUUUUUCUUGCCUUUGGAAUAUGAGCAUGUACUUUAGAUGAGUUAUUGUAAGACCCCAUAAGAUUCUAGCUCAAUUCAGCUCACCAUUAUUUGUAAAAGGGGUCUAAGAGUUAGAAAAUUUCACUAAGUGUUAGGACUUAGUUAUUUCCAAAUCCCCUUAAAGUUUAAUGAUUAUAUUUUCGACCUUCCCGAUGUCAGAUCAUUAAAUUUUAAGUUGAUUCAUGAUCAGGGUUCUCGAUAGUACAUCUUGGGUGAGUUUUGGAAUUUUUGGACUAGCAUAAGAGUGUUUUUGGAUUUUCAAAACAGUAGCAGCACCGAGAUAAGCCCACGGUGUGCGCCCCAUUUUACCAGUAAGGAUGCCCACGAUAGAGCCCGCGGCGUGUGCUCUAUUGUGCGCCCUUAUUUUUCCAGCUCCUGUUUCCGAUUUUACAAUGGAAAUUGGAUCUUUUUCCUUCACCCAAUAAUCAAGGGAUUCAUGCUUAAUUUUUAAGAAAACCAUCAGGAAUCUUCACAAAUUCAUCAAUUAACGUAUGUGUGAUGUUCAUUCAUGGGUCCUUUUCACCCAUGGAGUCCAAGAAUCCAUUUUUAAGAUUUAAACUAUGGUUUUACUUGUUACUUUGAAUUAUCUCCAUGAAACUCUUAUGAAUUUCGAUCAUGUAUUAUGUUUCCAAGAGUUUUUGUUGGAAAGAGCCUUUACACGUUUGAAAGUUGAAAUAUGUUCAUCAAUAUCUUGGUAAUUUGAUUUCAAGUUAUGAUUACAAUUGUUUUCUCGCAGAAUGGAUUAUAGUAUGUUUUAAAUGUUGUAGUUUCCGUAACAUGUUUAUGCAAUUCAGAGCAAAUUCUUAGUUUAUGAUUUUGUCAUGUGAUCGUUCUAUCUCAUCAUGUUUAAAAGCAUCCCCAUGCUAAAGUAUUGAUCUUCAUGUGUUUGAUAAAAUGCCAAAGUGAUGGUUUUUAAGUAAUGAUUCCCUAUAAUGGUUGUCAAAGCAUGCAUAUGUCCUUAUUGAUAUUUUCAUUGAGUCCUGGAGGGUUAUGAUCACCCGUUACUUAGCUAUUUAUAGAAUUUCAGUAGUUUCAGAACGGUGUUGGAUAAACCAAUAACAUUAUCAUUAAGUAGUUAUCAUGAUCAGUUUCUUGUUCAGUUAAAUAUAGUUCAGUUUCGUAAUCAGCGUCAGUUCAGUUGGGAGUAGGAUUCAGCACCGAGCGAAUCUAGGAAUGGGAUCUCACCCACCAGUUAGGACUGAGUCCUUAGUAGCAGUCCCUAAGUUCCAGAACUACGUAGCCAACAUAGGAUUAAGAGAUGUCACCCACUAGUUUAGGACUGACAUUCUCUCAGGGAUCACUCGCCAGCUUAGGGAUGAUCUCAAGGGUCACCCGCCAGUUAGGAAUGACUCCACAGACAUUGUUAGUACUCAUGGCACGAUACUAGGACCCUUCCAACUAGGGUCACUGGUUGGACCCCUAUUAUCUCCCACAGUUUCAGGCUUAGUUCAAUAUUCAGUAUAGAAUUCAGUUUUAGGUUUGGACUGACCAUAGCAUACAGUUAUCAGUUAUUCAGUUAUCAGAUUUCAACAUUUUAGUUUAUAGACUAUUUCAGAAUCAUGUAUAUGCUUGGUCAUGCAUUCUCAGAUUUUACAACUUUCAUGUAUUUUAUGCAUCAGUAAUCUCAUACUAUUCAGUCAACAUUUACUUCAUGCACAUAAGCCUAUGUAUUUCAGCCUAACCUUAUCUUGCAUACCAGUACAUUCAAAGUACUGACCACAUACUCAUUUCUUGCGCUAUGAUGUUUAAUAUCAUAGGUUCAGACGCACAAUUCCCUGAUCAUGCUUAAACAGUUCAUCUUAUCAGCAACAACAAUAGCAGUGGUGAGUCCUCAUAUUUUGAGGACCUAAUAUGUUUCUUUCAUCAUUUCUUUUUAGUUAGUCAGUCAGAGUUAGUUGAGGGCUUGUCCCAUCAACUCCUCAGUCAGUUUAUAGUCUUUCAGAUACUUCAGACAGUCUGUUAGUUUGUCAGUCCUAUCAUUCAGAUUUUAGUAUUUUCGCAUAUAUUUCAGUUUUAUGGAUUUAGUUGUAUUGUUUUCAGAACUUAAAACCUUAUGACAUUUUUCCGUUAAUUUUUGCACAUGUUAUUGUUAUCAGUUUUAUUCAGUUUUUACAACAGAUACCAUCUCAUGGAUUAACUUGUGGUCACUUUUGACCGGAAGCACCGUGUGGCUACUCCCGGGGCGUUACAGUUAUUCAAAAAUUUAGAAUAAUAUUACUCUUUUUUUCCACAUAAAAAAAUUUAAUCCUUAAAUUCGUUUGACUUUGCUAUGUUUCUUCUUUUUUGUUGUUUUUGUGUGUAUUAUUAUCUAAUAAGAAGUAUUUGAAAAAGAAAAAAAAAGACUGAAACAUAAAAAAUAUUGAAUUGAAUACUUAGGAGUACUACACAAUUAAGAUGUGAAUCAUUAUAAAAAAGUUCACUUGUUCGACAUCUAAAUGAAUAAGAUGCAAACAUCAAAUUAAAUAUAUAGUUUUUCUGAUUUCUCAUUCGGUGUUUGGUGUCUGUAUUGGAGCCCCGACUAAUUCGGAUCGCGCGUUGCAGGGCCCAUUAAGGUGGUAGCACUCCCAACAGAGUUUUCUCCAUAACCAGGGUCAAACCCUCAACCUCUGGUUAAGGGUGGAGCAGCCCCAUCCACUACACCACAACCCAUGUUGGUAAAUUAAAUAUAUAGUUAAUAACAAUGAGUAGUGAUCAAAAUUCACACUUUUAUCAUGUACAAAUAAAUGAAGCAUGAAAUACUUAAAAAGGAAUUUCCUUUCACAUUUAAUUUUUAAUUUUACUACUUCUAUUUUAAUUUUUGUGACACCAUUUAAUUAGACAUGAGGGAGUACAAAAAAUGGAAGUCUUUUAAAGUUUAUAGUCUGAAAUAAGUCUAAAAUAUUUAUGUGGUCAUGAAUAAUUUAGUAAGCACAAAAUAAAAAUUUUCAUAUAAAUUAUUUUUAAAUAUAGAAAAGUAAUAUUUUUUGUGAAACAAAUUAAAUAGAAAAGUGUCACAUAUCAGACAAAAGAAGUAUAAAGCUCGGGCCACUUGCCACUUGCCACUUGCCACUAGCUAGUUAAUAAUAGAUCUCAACCCUUCUUUGGAGUUCUCUUUCGUCUUCGACUCCCUCUGUUUUCAUUCCAUCGGGGCCGCCUUGCGCAGCUUUAGAAAGGAGAGAAUGACUUUAUGAAAUUCUCUCCAACCUUUUCUAUCUAUCUUUAGAAGUAGGUUAAAAAUUCUUUUAUCCUCAACCGAGUGUUAAUUAUUUUUAUAAUUAUACUUGAAUCAUAUUUUCUCUUGUUUUGACACGUACUUGAAUUUUAGUAGGUGUUUGGCCAUAGAUAUUAAAUAUUUUUUAUUUUUAUUUAAAAUUUAUAAAAUUGGAUUUGAAAUUAAAUUUAUGUUUGAUUAUAUUUUUCUUAAAGAAUAUUUGAAAUAAUAUUCAUGCUUGAAUAGAUUAAAAUACUACUUAAAAAGAGAAAAAUCAGUUUGAAAACAAAUUCUAAGUUAUGUUUCAAAUUUUAUAAUACAAUUUUAAAUUGAAUUUAAAAUUUUCGUAAAUACUAUAUAAUUUUCACAAAAAAUUACUACUACUAUUAUUCUAAAAAUAAGUAAAUAAAUUUAAAACAUGUCCUUUAAUGGUCGUCCAUCUCAUCAUAAAUCCAAAUUUCCAAGACACAAUCGACUAAAGUUAUUCCCUUCAUCUCACAAGGAAGUCGUCAACCCUUAUGGUGGCCUCUUUGUUUUUUACAUGUCUAUUAAGAAAACAUAAGUACAAGUGUUUUGGUUAUCUUGUCUAGAUUCAUUUUACUAAGAUAAUGUUUUACUUUUUUGUAUGUUGAUUCAUUCAAUUAUAUAAAUUUUAAUAAUAAUAAUAAUAUAUUAAUAUAUUUUCACAAAGUGAGGUUUGUAGAGAAUAAAGUGUACGUAAUUCAUAUUAUUAUCUCAAGUUAAGUAGAGAGGUUAUUUUCGAUAGACUUUGUGGAAGGUGUUAGAUGGAUGGAUUGAGCUGAUUUUAAAUAAGUUAAAAUGAAUUUAGUUUAUUAAUCAGUUGGACUAAAAUUAUCUCAAAAGCUACAUUGAUUGAAAUGAGCGAAAAAUGGGUUAGGUCUUGACCAACACAAUUUGACCAAUUUUUUUAAAUGAUUCGUACGAUCUUGAUCAGCCGAGACUCUGGAACUAAGCCUUCAUCGACACUCUGAACAUGAGACUUAAGACCCGACUCGAGGCCCACGUUGCAGUCAUGAACUGGAAAUCGAGACCAAACCUUGAUCUGCACUACUAAAAAAUGCCAAAAAUCGAUUUUAGAAGGUCAAUUUUUAUACUCUUUAAGUUUGGGUGUCGUGUUUUUAGAAGAAAAAAAAAAACUACAAAAUCAAUAUCUAGAGGUUGGAGUUUGUAAAAGAAAAUUUUAAAAUAAAUAAGAGGUCAAUAUUUUGCCAAAAGAGUGACCCCAUAAGAUCAGAUUUUGCGAUUUUUUUAUUCAAGAAAUCGAUCUUUAAAAGUCGAUUUUGUUAAAAAAAAAAAAUCAACGUAAACCUUAAGGAGUCGUUUGGUAAGAGGUAUAAGGUAUAUAGUCAUGGAAUAAAAUAAAGGAUUAUUUUAUCGGACAUUUGAUCAGAGAUAUCAGUUAAUCUCGAGAUUAUUUAUCGCAUCAUUUAUAUGAUAGUGUCGGACAUAACUUAUUUCGAAAUAGCUAAUUACGGGAUAACUAGUUUCCAACCAACCAACCCUAAGUAUUGGGCUAGAUUUUAAUUAUGGGUUUCAAAAUGGGGUCAGUAAUGAACUAAAUUGAAGAUCACAUUGAAAAUAACUUACGUUGGGUUGAGCUAAAAUCAACCCAAUAUGAAAUUAUCUUGUGUUCAAUCCAAAAAUUUUGGACAUGCUGGGGGUUAUCAACUUUUAAGCCAUCUUUGACACCAUCAGGGGUCGUUUGAUACGUAGACUAAAAUAUUCUAGGAUUAUAAUUCUUAGACUAUUUUAUACCACAUGGGAGGUGGUAUAAAAUAGUUCAAUCAUUAAUGGGUUAUAUCAAGACUAACUUUGAUAAUAGAUUUAUACCAUGUUUAAUUGAUAGUGUAAAUUAAUUUUGGAAUAAACUUAUAUCAUUAAUCAAACAUGAUAUAAAUUUUAUUCAUGAGAUAUCUUAAACUUAUCCAUAGGAUACAACCUUAUACCUCCUACCAAACGACCCCUUAGGAUAUUGUAUACAUCAAGCUAAGUUAAACAUAAUAUUUUUUUUAAAAAAUUAUUUGUCUUUUUUAUUGUUUAUACUAAAAACUUAUUAAGUUUCAUCAUAUCUCUAGCUCUAGAAUAAAAUUUUGGGUUGACCACAAAUAAUUUCAUGUUGGGUUGAUUUUAGCCCAACCCAAUAUAACUCAUUUUCAAAGUGAUCUUCAAUUUAGUUCAAUAUUAAUCCAAUUUUAGCUUAUAUUUAAGAUUUAGUCUAGUACUUCAGGUUUACUUUGAUUUUUUUUUUUUUAACAAAAUCCACGUUUAAAGGUCGAAUUUUAAAUACAAAAAAUUGCAAAAGUGGACUCAUGACUUAAGACUAUAUUGUACAGUUCUGUUAUGUUUUAUCGAACCUCGGAUUUUUAUUUUUGAUGUCGUACAGAUUUACGCCUUCUUGUGAAAUUAAGAAGAUCCUACUCUUAAAAACUUUUUAAGGAUGUUACAUGCUUUUAAUCGCAAGGUAAAGAGAGUAUUGAGGUGAUUUUGGAAAAACUUGAGGCAGAUGACUAUGGAGUUGCAGAGAAUUUUGAAAGUUUCGGUCAUGUCUCUAUCCGGCGUUUGGGUCGUCUAUUUUCAGAUGCUGGAUGGGUUAAAUCAAAAUCUUUCUGUUGUUCAUAGUUUACUAAUUAUAUUUCACCGAUCUUGUAUUCAGUCACUAAACAUAAUCUUCCAAAGCAUACUUUCAUGAUAAUAUUUCUACAGACGGAAAGAAAAAACAUGUGUGCCUUUUUUUUAUGGCACUCGUGUUUUUUCUUUCAGUCUGUAAAAAUAUUAUCAUGAAAGUAUUUUUUGGCGGAUUAUGUUUAGUGACUUAAUAGAAGAUUGGCGAAAAAUAAUUAGUAAACUAUGAAUAACAGAAAGAUUCUAAUCUAACCCAUCGAGCAUCUAGAAGUAGACGACCCAAACGUUGGAUAGAGACAUGACUGAAACUUUCAAAAUUCUUUGCAACUCCAUAGCCAUCUGCCUGAAGCCUUUCCAAAAUCACCUCAAUACUCUCUUUACCCUACGAUUAAAAGCAUGUAACAUCCUUAAAAAGUUUUUAAGAGCAGGAUCUUCUUAAUUUCAAAAAAAGACGUAAGAUCUGUACAACAUCAAAAACAAAACUCCAAGGUUCAAUGAAACAUAAUAGAACUGUACAAUAUAGUCUUAAAUUACAAAAAACACCUUUAAAGGUCAUGAGCUCUUUUUUUCGAAAAAAAAAAAAAGAGAAAUUGCAAAAUAUUGAGCUUUAAAGGUCAGCUUUUAAUUAAUUAAUUAAUUAAUCUGUACACUAAACCAACUUCUAGAUGUCAAUAUUUGAAAAAAAAAUAAAAAAAAAUUAAUAUAUAAAUAUUAAGAAUAUAAAAACUGACCUUCUAAGAUCGAUUUUUGGCAUUUAUUAGUAGCGUCAAGUUGAGUUUAGGUCUCAAUUCCUGAUUUUAGGUAGCAAUAUCAGAGUUGGAUCAAGUUUCGAGUCGCAUGUUCAGAGUGUCAGUCAAGGCUCGAUUCCUGAGUCCCAAUUCAGAAUCAUGUGAAUUAUUUAAAAAAGAAAUGGUCAAAUAGAGUGGAUCAUGACCUAAUUCAUAUAAUCCAUUUCAGUCCAAAUAACUUUUAAGUAAAUUUUAGCUCAAUUCAUUUACUAACUAUGACCAUUUUAACUUACUAAAUUUUAGCCGAACCAGUACACUAACACCAUCAAUUGAAGAUUAUUUACAAAAAUUAUUUCUGUUUCACCUAUAGUACCAAUUGCAGCCAAUCUACGAAAAUUCCUAUAUGAUGGUUGAGCGUAGAUGAAAGUCCUCAGAGGAAUUGCUAAAGUUUACUAGAGAAGAAAGUAGUUAAACUUGUGCACUUUUAUCAGUUGGGAGAAAUAGGAGAUUGUUUGUAAUUAGAUGAAAAUGAAACUAUCAUUUUAGUAAAUGGUAAUUUUUUUUUUUUUUUUGCUUAACUCAUUUGAAGUGAUGAUUAGUUGUGAAUUAAUCGUAGAUUUUAUUUGUAAUUAGAUGAAAAUGAAAUGUGAGCUUUUAAGUAAAUGGUGACUAUUUUUAAUAUUUUGUUAUAACAUCAUACUAUUAUAGCUUUAAUAUUCUGAAGUAUGUUCUCUUUACAUAAAAUUGAAGAAUAUAUACUUUUAGCCCCAAUAAGUUUGCAUUGAUGUAGAGUGUGAGCAACAAAAUUUUAUUUGAUUAAAAUCCGUAAGAAAUUCGGAUUAUAUUAAUUUAAAAUAUAUUAGUCCCAAAUAAAUGUUACGGAUUAAUAUAAUUAAAUUAAUUAUUUAAGUCCAAACAUAUAUAUAUAUUUAAUUAAUAUUCAAUUUUUUAUUGGGCUAGCCCAUUAAUUUGGGCUAUAAAUGACGAGUUCACGUUGCUAAGACCAAGAUAUUGUCAUAUUCUAGAGGCUCAAAUUGCAUCACGUGUCAAAUGACGUGGCAUGCCAAGUCAAGGGAAGGAGUCAAUAGGACCGUGCCACAUGUUAAAAUGAUGCAGCAGGCCCAGUGAAAUCAAAGCCCAUAAAAGGUGCCACAUCACUUGAAUUUGAUUGGUCAAAGGAAGUCCAUCUUCAUCAUGAGUCUUUCCUUUCCACAACUAUAAAUAGGGGUCUCAUAAUUUAGAAAAGGACCCCCCAGAACUCUAACAAGUAGCAAGAGAAAGCUCAUGGAUCAAACGUCACAAUUUCUCUAAAAAGCUCAAGCAUUCAAAUCAAGUUCAUCAAGAUUCAAGAUCAAGACCGCAAUAUUCAAGUUUAAGCUCAAAAGCCCUUGAAUUCAAGAACAAGUCAAGAUCAAGUCCCUCAAAUCAUUCAAAUCAAGUUCAAAUUCAAGAUCAAGCCUCAAGCCCUUGAAUUUAUAUUUGACAAGGCGAAUAAGAGGAUUCAUAGAGAUUGUAACACUCGCAUAUUGAAAUCAAUAAAUUGAUUGUUGCAAUAUUUUCUUGUCUCAAAUUAUUCAUUUUUCGGCCUCAAAAAUUUUAUUGUCCAACAAAUUUUGGCACGCCCAGUGGGACCAAAUCUGUCCUUCAUCUCUUCUCUCAUAAAUCAGAUUUGCAAAUCUGUAGCCACCGCAUAAAGAUGGAAGCUCUAUUGGUACUUCAAGACUCGUCAUCAAAUCUACACUUCGACAAGCCUUGAAUUAGGGGGCAUUUGUAGACAUCUAAAAUUUGUGGGACUCUAGAAAAAGAAUCCAAAUUCUGUUAGAGUUCUUAGAGUCUAGUUUACCCUAAACCCUGAAUUAUGCCUAUAUAAAGGGGAAAAUAUUCCCUUAAGGAGGGAUCUCCCGUAUCCCACAAAUUCACGGGAUAUUCACAAAGAGAUUAAUGAUCUUCAAAGUCCCAAUAAAUUCAUAGGAUAUUUAUAGAUCAAAACCCUUCCUUCUUGAUAAUCAAAUACAUCAAGAAGACAAACCCUCCUUUCAUGGAGAUCAAAUCCAAAUGUUUCUACGUUCGAGAAAUACAUCACUAACGGCCCUCGAAUUACGGAGAAAUCCAUAUCAAAUUCUACGUUCGAGAAAUACGCUACUAACAACCCUCGAAUUAUGAAAAAAAUCAAGAGAUAAGAAUCAAGAGAGGAACAGAUUUGUACCCACAUCAUUUAUCAAUAGAAAUUGUUGUUCCUUCAUAUUUUUAAUUAUGAUUACAAUUUAUUUCUAUCACCAUAAAAAAUUUGUUGGAAACAUGGAGUUCUAUCGUGAUGCUUACACACAAGUUUAUUGUGUGAUUGACAUAUCAUGGUAGACUUCUAACCAAGACAAGACUUACAUUAUCAAUCAAAUUUAUCGGUUACACAAAUUCGUUUAUCAAUUUAUGCCUUUUCUAUCCUCAACUAAAAUUAACUUUUAUCAUUUAAAAUUUAAUGUAACAGAGAAUGAUUUUUAAAAUAUUUUUCGAGCAAUUUUUUUUAUAUCAUAAUCCAAACGAAUUGAAACACAUUAGGCCACAUGAAAAUUUUUGUAAAUAAAUUAACAUUUUAAAGCUUAGUCAUGACGGAUUUAUAUGAUUACUUCAAAUAUGUACCACUUUGAUCAAGAGAUCCAUAUAAAAAAUACAUACAAACUUAGGGCAUGCAUUUUAAGGCAUUUUAACAUAAAAGGGAGAAAAUAGAAAAAGGUGGGUGCUCACUGACCUUUUUAGAUGCAAUAAACGUAAGUAUUUUUUAUUAAAGAUCUAUCCUUGAAUGUCAAUGUCCUUGAGUCCAAACACCUUCAGAUCCAUCAUCUCAGUAGAAAGGUGAAACAAAAAUUUAUAGUAGAUCUGAUUACUUGAAAUGAUGAAUUUAGAGUGCAUCUCAGUAGAAAGGUGAAAUAAAAAUUUAAAGUAGAUCCGAUUACUUGAAAUGAUGAGUUUAGAGUGACGUCUAGGUAUUCAAGAUGUGAAUCAAAAUGAAUGUAUUAAAAUGCAAUUUAAGACAUUUUAACAUAAAAGGGGAGAAAAUAGUAAAAAGGGGAAUUAAUGUUCACUAAACCUUUCCGGGCGCAAUAAAUAUAAAUACUUUUGAUCAAAGAUAUAUUCUUGAAUGUCAAUGGUCUUAACUCUGAACACCUUCAGAUCCACCAUCUUAGUAGAAAGGUGAAACAAAAAUUUAAAGUAGAUCUGAUUACAAUGAUGAAUUUAGAGUGUGACCUAGUUAUUCAAAAUGUGAAUCAAAAUGAAUGUCAAAGACCGAUACUUAUAAAGAAUAAAAUUGAUGUUCUGGAAUUCAAAAAUUUGUAAGUGGAAUUAGAAUUUCGAACUCAAGUCAAUAAAAUCUUGAAUAUGAACGUUGAAGGAUUUAGACGAAUUCGACAUCGGAUCAGAAAAAAGAGAAAAAUGAGAUGAAACUUUACUUAAAAAGGCCAAAGAAAAAAGGAAUCCUGCAAAAGAGACCAUCUUGUAUGUGUGUAAUGAGAUUUUAAGAUAUCUCGAUUAAAAUCUCAAUAUUUCAUGAAGAUUUUUCAUAAAUAAUUACUCAAAAUGAACUUAGACACCUCUGAUUGCAAUAAAUAAAGGUCAAAAUCUUUUGUAAAAGAGAGAAAAAGUCAGAUCGACUUUCUGCCAUUACAGAUCAAGGAAAAAAGACGAUGAGAGAGAUUGAAUAGAAAUUGCGACUGUUUUGAGAAAAGAUGAAAACCCUAGAGUAUUUU
rnacentral:lncRNA from 1 species